rnacentral:tRNA from 1 species
GGUGAGAUGGCCGAGCGGUCUAAGGCGCCAGACUAAGGAUCAGAGCAUUUGUUGCUCGUCAUUAACUGUUUCAACGGUUAUCUGGUCCUCCGGGGCGUGGGUUCGAAUCCCACUCUCAUCA